UAAUACAGAGGUCCCAAGCGUUGUUCGGAUUUACUGGGCGUAAAGGGUGCGUAGGUGGUGGGGUAAGUCGGAUGUGAAAUCUCCGAGCUCAACUCGGAAAGUGCAUUGGAAACUACCCUGCUCGAGGGUUGGAGGGGGGACUGGAAUACUUGGUGUAGCAGUGAAAUGCGUAGAUAUCAAGUGGAACACCAGUGGCGAAGGCGAGUCCCUGGACAACUCCUGACACUGAGGCACGAAAGCUAGGGGAGCAAACAGG
rnacentral:rRNA from 1 species